UAAAAAUCCUUUUUUUGGAAAAGAAUGGUCGCCCGAGUAACUUUUGUCGCAGGGUCGGUUUCCAUCCAGCAAAACCCCGGCUGAUUUACGUGGCCAGCAGCCGCGGUAAUACGUAGGUGGCAACCGUUAUCCGGAUUUAUUGGGGGUAAAAAAAGCGCAGCCGGUUUUUUAAUUAUGAUGAGAAAGACCCUCGGCUUAUCCGAGGGAGAGCAUCGGAAACUGGGAAACUUGAGUGCAGAAGAGGACAGUGGAACUCCAUGUGUAGCGGUGAAAUGCGUAGAUAUAUGGAAGAACACCAGCGGCGAAGGCGGCUGUCUGGUCUGUAACUGACGCUGAGGCUCGAAAGCAUGGGUAGCGAACAGCAGUAGAUACCCUGGUAGUCCAUGCCGUAAACGAUGAAUGCUAGGUGUUGGAGGGUUUUCGCCCUUCAGUGCCGCAGCUAACGCAUUAAGCAUUCCGCCUGGGGAGUACGACCGCAAGGUUGAAAAUCAAAGGAAUUGACGGGGGCCCGCACAACCGGUGGAGCAUGUGGUGUAAUUCGAAGCAACGCGAAGAACCUCCCCAGCUCUUGACAUCUUUUGAUCACCUGAGAGAUCAGGUUUCCCCUUCGGGGGCAAAAUGACAGGUGGUGCAUGGUGGUCGUCAGCUCGUGUCGUGAGAUGUUGGGUUAAGUACCGCAACGAGCGCAACCCUUAUGAUUAGUUGCCAGCAUCUAGUUGGGCGCUCUAGUAAGACUGCCGGCGACAAACCGGAGGAAGGUGGGGAGGACGUCAAAUCAUCAUGCCCCUUAUGACCUGGGGUACACCCGUGGUACAACGGAUGGUACAACGAGUUGCGAGACCGCGAGGUCAAGAUAAUAUUUUAAAACCAUUCUCAGUUCGGACUGUAGGCUGCAACUCGCCUCCACGAAGUCGGAAUCGCUAGUAAUAGCGGAUCAGCACCCCGCGGCGAAUACGUUGUCCGGGGCCUUGUACACACCACCCGUCACACCAUGAGAGUUUUGUAACCACCACGAAACACCGGUGGUAGUAAUCCCUCUAGGGAGCGGAGCCCUUCUUUGAAGGUUUUCCCCCGUC
rnacentral:rRNA from 1 species